UUGUAGAUUAAAAUCUAUGUUGUACUUGAUGCACACUCCCACAUUGCACUUGCAACCCGUGGUACGCACAUAUGAACUACAGCAUUCAUCUGCAAAACGUCUCCUUUUCUUAUCAGGAAUGUAGGUCAGGAGAUGAUCAAUCUUAUCAUAUCUUAUAUCUACGACUACUUUGGACGAAGAUGGCCUGUCUGCAUCUUUUGGUUUGGUACCAUAUUUCGUAAGAUACGAUAUUACUAGAUAUAUUCGAAAUUCUAGUUGUGGCAUAGGAUCUAUUAUGUCCAGCAUCAAUGUAAAUAGACCAUUAUGUCCAUAGUUAUGUCCAGCAUCAAUGUAAAUAGACACCACCAUCAUUUUUAGAGCAAAUUCCUACUUGGUAUCUAGCUACAUUCUGGUCCAUAAGAUCAACUUCAACUUUCCUUUCACUAGUAUUUUAGCUUUUGCUGAUGAUCUGGAAGGCUGAGCCUCGUCAAUAUCAUCAUAUCUUUCGAAAUCUCUUUCACUUUUUCGUAAAACAAGUUCAACAGGUGCUCUUAGAAUUCUCUCGGACAGCCUGUUAAAAUCAUUAUAUUCCUCAUCACCAAACUCCUCGUCUGUAAGUACAUUCAAUUCUGGGGUUUCGGUACCUAUAUAUUUAGCAUCAACGUCUAAAGUUUCAACGGCAUCAAUUAUCUCCAGCGCCUCUUGAAGAGAAAACCCUUUUCUGGAACAAACAAUACGUUACAAUUCCAAAAGUUCCGGUUUUUGCUCCCAUAUGUUCCUAGCGUUACAUAUAUGUAACACCAAAAAUUAAAGGAUUUUUUUACAAAACCAGGAUAAAAUCUCUAAAAAUGUAUAUUAUCGAUAAGAAGACAUUAAUUUAUUCUCAAUUGAAAACACUUUAAACAAAAUAUAAUAACAAAAGAAUAGUAAAAAUAAACUUACUCAAACUUGAGAUCCAUUUUUACCAUAAAUAAUAAACACCGUCACAUAAAACACUCAAC
rnacentral:lncRNA from 1 species